rnacentral:rRNA from 1 species
UACGUAGGGUGCAAGCGUUAAUCGGAAUUACUGGGCGUAAAGCGUGCGCAGGCGGUGAUGUAAGACAGGUGUGAAAUCCCCGGGCUUAACCUGGGAACUGCAUUUGUGACUGCAUCGCUGGAGUGCGGCAGAGGGGGAUGGAAUUCCGCGUGUAGCAGUGAAAUGCGUAGAUAUGCGGAGGAACACCGAUGGCGAAGGCAAUCCCCUGGGCCUUCACUGACGCUCAUGCACGAAAGCGUGGGGAGCAAACAGG